rnacentral:rRNA from 1 species
UACGAAGGGUGCAAGCGUUGUUCGGAUUUAUUGGGCGUAAAGCGCGCGCAGGCGGAUCAGCAAGUCAGAUGUGAAAUCUCAGGGCUCAACCCUGAAACUGCGUCUGAAACUGCUAGUCUAGAAUAUUGGAGGGGGCAGGGGAAUUUCACGUGUAGGGGUAAAAUCCGUAGAGAUGUGAAGGAACACCGGAGGCGAAGGCGCCUGCCUGGACAAUACUUGACGCUGAGGCGCGAAAGCGUGGGGAGCAAAC